rnacentral:misc_RNA from 1 species
GUAGGUGAACCUGCGGAAGGAUCAUUAUCACGUUCCAAACGUUACCAACCAACCGUGAACCGUUUUCAACACGCCCCUAUGACUUCAUGACCUUCGGGUGUAGUCGUCGUGGGUAAGUCUAUCACGCUUGUGCAGUCCUCUUUUAUUAGUCGACGGUUCUGAGCGGCGGUAGCGCAAUCUUAACCCUUAUCUCCCCCUUUUUGCUAGUUGACUUUAGUACUGUGGUCGAUUUGUGCGGGUAACUCUGCGCAAGUUAUGGAUCACACGUUUAAUUACUUGAACGUUAAAAAUACAACUCUUAGCAAUGGAUAUCUUGGUUCUC